UACGGGGGGGGCAAGCGUUGUUCGGAAUUACUGGGCGUAAAGGGCUCGUAGGUGGCCAACUAAGUCAGACGUGAAAUCCCUCAGCUUAACUGGGGAACUGCGUCUGAUACUGGAUGGCUUGAGUUUGGGAGAGGGACGCGGAAUUCCAGGUGUAGCGGUGAAAUGCGUAGAUAUCUGGAGGAACACCGGUGGCGAAGGCGGCGUCCUGGACCAACACUGACACUGAAAAGCGAAAGCCAGGGGAGCAAACGGG
rnacentral:rRNA from 1 species